rnacentral:rRNA from 1 species
GCCCGUCGCUACUACCGAUUGAAUGGCUUAGUGAGGCCUCCGGAUUGGUUUAGGAAAGGGGGCAACCUCAUUCUGGAACCGAGAAGCUGGUCAAACUUGGUCAUUUAGAGGAAGUAAAAGUCGUAACAAGGUUUCCGUAGGUGAACCUGCGGAAGGAUCAUUACUGAUUUGCUUAAUUGCACCACAUGUGUUUUUCUUUGAAACAAACUUGCUUUGGCGGUGGGCCCAGCCUGCCGCCAGAGGUCUAAACUUACAACCAAUUUUUUAUCAACUUGUCACACCAGAUUAUUACUAAUAGUCAAAACUUUCAACAACGGAUCUCUUGGUUCUCGCAUCGAUGAAGAACGCAGCGAAAUGCGAUACGUAAUAUGAAUUGCAGAUAUUCGUGAAUCAUCGAAUCUUUGAACGCACAUUGCGCCCUCUGGUAUUCCGGAGGGCAUGCCCGUUUCUCCCUCAAACCGCUGGGUUUGGUGUUGAGCAAUACGACUUGGGUUUGCUUGAAAGACGGUAGUGGUAAGGCGGGAUCGCUUUGACAAUGGCUUAGGUCUAACCAAAAACAUUGCUUGCGGCGGUAACGUCCACCACGUAUAUCUUCAAACUUUGACCUCAAAUCAGGUAGGACUACCCGCUGAACUUAAGCAUAUCAAUAAGCGGAGGAAAAGAAACCAACAGGGAUUGCCUCAGUAGCGGCGAGUG